rnacentral:rRNA from 1 species
CUUAUAUAUAUGGGACUAGCUCAGAAUUGAACCGCUAACGCAGCCUACACAUGCAUGUCGAGCGGCUGACCGUAUGCUACUCCUGGAGUCAGCCGCUGUACGGGUGAGUAAUACCUAGCAUCUGCCUGGUAGUGGGGGACGACUCCGCGAAACGUGCGAUAAUACCGCAUACGUCGUAUGGGACAAAGCAGGGGACCUUCAGACCUUGCGCUAUCAGAUGAGCCUAGGUCGUAUUAGAUAGUUGGUGAGGUAAUGGCUCACCAAGGCGACGAUCGGUAGCUCAUCUGAGAGGAUGAUCACUCACAUUGGAAGUGAGACACGGUCCAGACUCCUACGGGAGGCAGCAGUGGGGAAUAUUGGGCAAUGGGCGAAAGCCUGAUCCAGCCAUGCCGCGCGUGUGAAGAAGGUCUUCGGAUUGUAAAGCCCUCUAAGUGGGGAGGAACGUCAGUCAGUUAAUACGUGGCGGUAUUGACGGUACCUGCAGAAUAAGCACCGGCUAACUUCGUGCCAGCAGCCGCGGUAAUACGUAGGGUGCAAGCGUUAUUCGGAAUUACUGGGCGUAAAGCGCGCGUAGGCGGUUUGUUAAGUCGGAUGUGAAAUCCCCGGGCUCAACCUGGGAACUGCAUUCGAUACUGGCAGACUAGAGUACGGUAGAGGAGAGUGGAAUUCCCGGUGUAGCGGUGAAAUGCGUAGAUAUCGGAGGAACACCAGUGGCGAAGGCGGCCAUCUGGUCUGAACUGACGCUAACAGAGGUGGGCG